rnacentral:sRNA from 1 species
GUCGGGGUACUGCCCGGUGAAGAUCGUCGGCCGCGACGGCACGCA